UACAGAGGUCUCAAGCGUUGUUCGGAUUCAUUGGGCGUAAAGGGUGCGUAGGCGGCGAAGCAAGUCUGAUGUGAAAUCCCGGGGCUCAACCCCGGAACUGCAUUGGAUACUGCUUUGCUAGAGUACUGGAGAGGAGACUGGAAUUUACGGUGUAGCAGUGAAAUGCGUAGAUAUCGUAAGGAAGACCAGUGGCGAAGGCGAGUCUCUGGACAGUUACUGACGCUGAGGCACGAAGGCCAGGGGAGCAAACAGG
rnacentral:rRNA from 1 species